rnacentral:rRNA from 1 species
UACAGAGGGGGCAAGCGUUGUUCGGAAUUACUGGGCGUAAAGGGCGCGUAGGCGGGCCGGCAAGUCAGGGGUGAAAUCUUCCAGCUCAACUGGAAAAGGGCCUUUGAUACUGUCGGCCUCGAGGGAGGUAGGGGCAUGCGGAACUUCCGGUGGAGCGGUGAAAUGCGUAGAUAUCGGAAGGAACGCCGGUGGCGAAAGCGGCGUGCUGGACCUCUUCUGACGCUGAGGCGCGAAAGCUAGGGGAGCAAACGGG